UACGAAGGGGACUAGCGUUGCUCGGAAUCACUGGGCGUAAAGCGCACGUAGGCGGAUUGUUAAGUCAGGGGUGAAAUCCUGGAGCUCAACUCCAGAACUGCCUUUGAUACUGGCGAUCUCGAGUCCGGGAGAGGUGAGUGGAACUGCGAGUGUAGAGGUGAAAUUCGUAGAUAUUCGCAAGAACACCAGUGGCGAAGGCGGCUCACUGGCCCGAUACUGACGCUGAGGUGCGAAAGCGUGGGGAGCAAACAGG
rnacentral:rRNA from 1 species